rnacentral:misc_RNA from 1 species
AUGUUGACCGAGUCUGCGUGUUAAUAAACACUUCCAUAUUACUGUUUAUUGAUUGGUCCUGUCAUUGGCCGACACAACAAACACUAACCAAUAAACGAUUUUUUGUAGUGUUCGAAAAGAUGGCUGCGUUGCCGUCUCCAACACAGGUAGCAGGAAAACAUAGUGCCAUAUAUGAAUCAUAUUAUAGUCUGGUGGAUCCAAAUGGUAUUGGAACAGUUGGGGCUUUGGAAGCAGCUCGCUUUCUCAAACGUUCUGGUCUAAGUGAUGUUGUACUAUCGCGAAUAUGGGACCUAUCAGAUCCUGGUGCAAGAGGAUGCCUGGACAAGGCUGGACUAUUUGUUGCCCUUAAACUUGUAUCUGUAGCACAACAAGGCAGAGAUGUUAAUAUUGAAAAUAUUUUAUUGGAUACCCCACCUCCCAAAAUGGGGGAUUUGCCUUUACCAAAACCUGCAAAACCUCCCCUUCCAAGUAACACUCCCCUUAUUACUUCUAUUCCACCAACAGCAGGUGUUGAUUGGACCAUUAAGCCCAAUGAAAGAGAAAAGUAUGAUAAACUAUUUGAUUCGUUAAAUCCUUCAAAUGGACUUAUUCCUGGUAAUAAGGUCAAGGGUGUCCUUAUGGACUCAAAAUUGCCCCUGGAAACUCUGGGAAAAAUUUGGGACCUAGCAGAUCAAGACAAAGAUGGAAUGUUGGAUAGGCACGAAUUUAUUGUAGCGAUGCAUUUAGUGUACAAGGCGUUAGAGAAGCAUGCGGUGCCGAACACGCUGCCCCCCGAGCUAUUGCCGCCCGCGAAAAGGAAAGGUUCUAGUACGACGGGUACUCCCAUUAUAUCCCGCGGUUUGGAUGGUAUGAAGCCCGUUGUGCCUUCUCCCCCGAAUGUGCCGGCGUCACAUUUGCCGCCACCGGUUGCCAGGCCCCCGCCACCCAGCGUUUCCCCUCAACCGAUGACGGUAGGACCAACCUGGGUUGUCACAACCGACGAAAGAGCCAAAUACGACCUCUUGUUCGUCAAGAGCGACGUCGACCACGACGGAUUCGUCUCGGGGGCCGAAAUUAAAAACGUGUUUCUGCAGAGUGGCGUGCCCCAAGCCGUUCUUGCACAUAUUUGGGCUCUGUGCGAUAUAAAACAAAGUGGAAAAUUAAAUAACGAGCAGUUUGCGUUGGCUAUGUGGCUAGUGGGUCGGUGUCUCAAAGGUAUCGAGCCACCGCCGUCGUUGACACCUGAAAUGAUACCUCCUAGUUUUAGAGCAAUAAAAGCUGAUGGAAUUGUGGAGAACAAUAAUACUACAUAUUCUAAUCCUGAGUUAGACAUGAUCAGUAAAGACAUAGAGGAACUAUCGAGAGAAAAAAUAGCAUUAGAGGCAGAUAUUCAACAGAAAGAGGCUGAUAUUAAAAUAAAGAAUGGCGAAAUUAAAAGUUUGCAGGUUGAAUUGGAUACAUUAGCAGCGACACUAAAACAAUUAGAAAACCAAAAAGGCGAAGCCCAAAAACGGCUUAAUGACCUCAGAGCUCAGAGGUCGGAAGUUGACAAGGAAUUGGAAGAAGUAUCGAAUGCUCUCGAGGAACUAAAGGAGAAGGUGGACAAACUUAGGACUCAAGCAGCGGAACAGGCCGAGGCUGUGGCUUCGCAAGAAGCAGAACUAAAUAGCAAAAAGCAGCAGUUAGAAAGUCUGAAGCAGGACGAACAAAUGCUCGAACAGAGGAAGAAUGAAAACGCUAAGAAAUUGGAAAAUCUCACUUCGAAUUUACAAGAAACUCAACUCACUAUCAGUCAGGUAAAAGCAAUGAUAACUCAAUUACAAGAACAAACGCGACAAAUGAACGAUGCUAUAACGAUUUGCGACUCGGCGAUCGAUUCGAAUGAUCCUAACGUUGUUCCGGACGCAUCCCUGAGGAUUACACCCGAUUUCCGAGGAAGUGAGUACAAAAAGAUCGGCUUGACAAAUGGACACAUAAAACAGAACGGAUUUCAAGAAGUGAAUGACCCUUUCAGCAAACACAAUGGUCCUGUAAAUUUAAAUUCUGAUUUCCAAAACGAUCCAUUCAAAUCAGAUCCGUUUAAAAAUAACAAUGGGGUUUUUGAUUCCUCACAAGAUCCAUUUACUGCUAACUUUUCGAAUAAAAAUAAUAAUGGAUUUCAAUCAGAUCCAUUUGAUUCAUUCAAUACCAAUGCGGAUAGAAACGAUCCUUUUAACGCAUUUGAUGGUAAAGAAGAACCCAAAAAGGAGGAGGAUAAAGAUCCUUUCGGCUGCGAUCCAUUUGCGGUGUUACAUGCACCAACGAGGGAUGGUGCACCACCCCCACGACCUACCAGUCCGAGUCCCGCCCUUCCCCCUAAGAAGAGUAAGCAGCCGCCCCCGCGACCUGCUCCACCUCGACCAAACCCGCCAUCUAAAUUAUCUCAAAAUGACCCUUUUGGUUCAGCGGGUAUACAUGACCCCUUUUCCUCGAGUAAUACCGGGGAAUUUGCUGAUUUCGCCGACUUCGACUCAAAGUUUCAUUAAAAAAAAGACACAUGGAUUAAAAUUCGUGUGUAACAAUGUAUGAGAUAUCUAAGUGAAGCAAUCCUACUCUUUCUACAACAUGCUAUGAGAUACCAGCCUGAGAGAGAAAAGAAAAACAUCGCAAAACUUUUUAAGGAUGUUUUGCACAACUAAAAUUAAAAUUUUUACUUCGACAUGAUUACUAAAUUUAUGGGACUAAAAUAAUAGUUUCACAAAUGAGAGGAACUGUAGAUAGUUUUAAUGCUACUGAAACAACCGAUGCUUUUCACGUCUUCACAUUGUAACAUUAUGCAGUUAAUUUUGGACCUGAGAAGGGGAGGCAAAUGGAGAUUCAUUUUGGAAAUCACUAAAAAAAUCAAUUGUCUUUCAAUUGGUUUCUCUCCUUGUCUUCAUUUGCUUAUCACACUUGCUAUGCUCUGCAGUUAUUUAAGAUCGACGGUGGAGAAGACAAAGAAGAUCCCGUAGUUUCU